rnacentral:piRNA from 1 species
UGACUAUCUCCGUGAGUCCAUCAGAAUUU